AUGAAAUCCAUAGACCUCCAUUACGGCCCCGCUCUUAUAUCAAAUGAUUUUGCCCCGCAGAGGUAUAGUCCCUCAACGCAUGUGCAAAACUCGGGCAUGUCGCACAGGUAUUAAACAAUUCCCAGCCCAUAUUAGCAGCCUUUUGUGUGCCAUGGCCGCUGACGAAAUAAUACCUGCGUGUUCGUGUGUGUGCGUGUUAAAUGGAUGAUAUAAAAUACAACCUCAGUAAUUAAUCCCGAUCGAUCGGGAAUGUCAUUAUGCUUAAAAAAAAAAACACUGGACAGUUAAACCACGCAGCGAGGACAACUUUUUGACAUUUUAGUAUCACCCGUCCGUCUGGAUUGGUCGCUCUGAUUUGGUCGGGAAUGGACAAAAUCCUUGGUGGGGGUGGGGGGGGGGUGUCCAAAAUGGCCACUUUCAAGCAAAAUGGCAGACUUCCUGUUUCUUUACGGGUAUGGCGUCUAGCGCUUUGCUAUUUUAUUUUUUAUUUGUGUCAGUCUAGUCAUGGUUUUCUGCAUUUGAGAGCGUCGUGUAUUAUAGCGAAUCAUAAAAUACUUUGCAUUGAUGGGGGGGAAAAAAUGAACAUGGUUUGCAGUUCAGCUUCGAGCGUACGUGAAUUUGGAAUCGGAAUUUUGUCGCCACUCGAAGGACAAAUUAGUCAUUGAGGACCCUCGGGAAUAGAUACUUUUCCUUGACGUCACGCCGACCACGUGUUUUUUUGUUUACAACGCCAUUUUUGGACAGCAAGAUCGUGUCCACAUAUCAUGGCUAGGAAGCGAUAAGCGUGUACUGUAAUGUUUUGGCUACGGUUAUCGUUUGAUCUUUUAUCUUGAAAGCCAUUUGACAGAGGAACACUGUAACCAGAGCGGAUUGAGGCGCUUGUGCUGGAGUGAGGAAUAAAGAAAGAAGCCGCAUGUGAAACUCGGAGAGCGAGUAUUGUCUCGUUAUUAUUAGAUUGAGCUGUAGUACUUCUCGUAUACAGCAAAUGUGCUGUGAUUAUGAUUAUGUCGGCGACAGCGGGGCCCGACGAGACAGGACGAUAAGGAAGUGAGCCAGAGAGGUUGUCGGAAGGGGAAAAGCGAAAUAAAUAUCACCCGCGUUAAAAAGUACAGUUGGACUAACGUCUACGUUAUUCAACAACACGACAGCAAGCUCGGUAGUAUAACUACGGACUCACGAAAUUAAAAAAAAAAAAAAGACGACGACGACGAAUUGUCCACGAUGGAGGCGUACGUUCGGUGUUCCAAGCCCGAGGAUGGACUGGGACUCAUCCAAUUUACCAGAUGCGUGGCGGAGAUUCGAGCGACACGCCGAACUCAUGUUCACAGGACCGCUUAAAAACAGAGCUGAAGAGGAAAAGUGCAGUUCCUCCUGCUGUGGAUCGGAAAUAAAGGACGGGAUGUCGGCAAUACGUGGGUACACUGACCGGAUACGAAGUUAUACUUUUUCAUUGUGCCACUCGGCACACUCAAGUUUGUCAACUGGUGGGUCGGGACCCGAAUGCUGGUCAGGGACCCAUUUUGGGUGGGUCACAGGAAGCGAGUAAAAAAAGAGGUUCAUAUUCAUAUUUCUUCGGCAUAGUACCUCGUGAUUCAGGUAAGGAAAUAUUACUUGCACUCGACUACUACUACUGUACCAUGUGAACAAAUACAGUGCAGCUCAGCCUCUGGCUCGCGGAUGUCGUGGGUGUACCAAAAUGUUCUUGGCGGUAUGUCAAACUUAUUUGAAACGGUUUAAAAAUAUAACAAAGGCAAUUUUUUUCAACCCCAAAAAUGAUUUGUAGUUCUUACCUUGUAUAAAAGUAGGGAAAACGCGGUCCCGGGGUGACAACAGUUGCGAAUCACUGCGGUAGAAUUCUGAUAUGUGUUUCUCUCAUUCAAUAUCUUUUAAGAAUAUGGAGCUUGUGCCGCAAUGUUUUUAUUUUUGUGGGGGAUAUACUUUUAUUAACCCGGCCGCGUAGCAGCCAUUAAAACGGGAAUAUGUCGCCCGAUGACGACCCUUUUUGAGCGCGCUCGAUCCCGCAAAGGACCGAUGAAUGGCUAAAAUAGGGGGAAGGGGUCGGCCUCCCUCCCUCCCGCGUGCCCUUGACGGCGCCGUGAAGGACAAAGAUUGAUUGCGGGCCGGUAGCCUUUCAUGCAGAUAAUACAUUUUGGCGGAGGCCGGCCCCCUUUUUUUUUUUUUUUUUAAAUAUCUGAUGCGCCGCAACCACAAUGGGGGGAACUCAAAGCGGGAAAAAGGCGGCCGCGACGCUUCUGCUCUCCUCACUGAUAACUUCAUCGCCACAUGUGGUCUGACGUGGGCCAAAUUCGAGAAGGGGAUUAAACAAAAGCGAGGUUGGGGAGGGAAUGCAGCGGCCCCGUGGCGGCGCGGGGCCCCUCUGAAGACACAAGAAGAAGAAGAAGAAGAAGCUCCGAGGUUUGUGAUCUGCCGCCUCACGUGUGGAAUGAGGCAAAAAAAAAAAAAAAAAGUCUUUCCACGGGGAUUAGCGUCCUGUUGCUUUUGGAAUUGCUGAAUGUGGCCUCGAAAUGUUGUCACGUGACGGCCGACAUGCGUUUGUUUGCUUCCAUCUCCAAGAUAAUUCAAAGCAAAUGCGAAAACGGACGGGAAAGCACGGACACGUAUCGCCGGUGAAAUUGCACCAUGUUUGCAUAACCAUUAUUAUCCUUUGUGCUCCCCCCAAUCUUUGUUUUACUUUUUCAUAUGAUUGAACAGGACUUUUAGCCAUUAUUUCCUGUUAUUUUUCUCAAUAUUUAGUCCAACACUUGACUCGAUUUGUAAUAUUUUGAAGUAUUUUAUUUUCUCUGGUUUUUGAAUAUUUAAUUUCAUUAAUUGUAUUGUUUUUAGUUCAUUUAAUUAGUUUUACUAAUUAUUGAACUAGAUUUUUUUAUGUGUAUACAUUUUGUUUGUUUCGUAAUCACAUAUUUUUUUCUAUUUUUUUUUCAUUACUGUUUAAUUGGUUAUCCUUUUUGAUUUUUUUGGGGAGGUGAUAAUUACUCAAAAUGUACUGAAUAUUUUUUCAUCACUUUCUUCAUUUUUCCUUGACUUAUUUUGAUUUUUAGUCAUGGGUGUACUUUUUCAAGACUUUCAUUUCAUGUGUGCAGUAUUUUGUGAAAUUUCUUUAAUUAUUACAUUUUGUAUAAUUUCUAGCAAUUUUCUUGAACCUCCAUUACAUUUUGUGUUUAUUUUUAACUUUUUUUUUAUUCUACAUUUCUUCAUGGAGGAUUUAAUUAUUCUUUUUUUUCAUUUAUUUUUUAAAAAAAAGUUAGUCUACAUUUUAUUUAACUGUUUAAUGCAAAAUUUUUAUACUUUCAAAUUGAUUUUAUUACCCCCUGUAUUGAGUUUUAUUGUACACUUGAUUUUGUAAUUCUUUUGCUUUUUUAUUUUUUCAUUAUUUUCCUUGAUUUUAAUUCAUCCAUUUUCUGUCAUAUAUUAUAAUAUUAUUUCAUUUUGAUCACAUUAUUUUCCUUAUCACUUUUAUUGUUUUUCACGAUUAAAAUUUUUUUCGUGAUGUUUUUUAACUGGAAUUAUUUUUUUGUCCUUGUUUUUUUGCAUGCUUUUUAAGUUUCUUUUAUGGAUUAUUCUACCUUGAUUUUUACUUUUAUUUAUAAAUGUCACUUUUUUAUUUUUCAAAUUUGAUUUGUACAUUUUACAGUUUUCACACAAUUUGUUUUACAUUUUUGACAAAAUGUCUUUUAACUUUAGUUAGUAACUAUUAUUGUUAUUAGUACUACUAACCAUUAUUUUUGUGAUAAUUUUUAAUCCUUAAAAGAUGCUUUUUGUAUGAAGAUAAAAAUAACUCUUGCUAAUUAUUCCCGUUGCAAAUUGCCUUUUUUUUUUUCUACCAGAUUCUCUUUGUAUUUUAUGUGAUUUUUCUUCUACUCGUUUUACUUUAUUUUUCGCAUGUUAUCUGGUCCCUUCCCCACUUUGACUUGAUUUUUACUUUUGUCUGUACGAUAAAAGAUAAAAAUGAACUGUCACUCUGAUUAGCGUUACUGUACGUGCAUUUAAAAAAAUGUUACCAGUUUUUCACCACCAAUUUUACAUUUUUUAAAAUUAUUUGACUUGAUUUUCUUCAACUCAUUUUAUUUUUAGAAUUUUAUUUACCCCACGCACACUUUGACUUGAUUUUUGACCCGAGCCGAUCUCCCAGGAUGAUCCGACUCACGUCAGCGAUAUCAGCGCCUGUUUGUUGGCUUCUGCCUGGACGCUAAUUCAAAGCAAAUGUGAUUUUGCCGCCAGUUCCAAAUCGCCCGAAGGAGGUCAGCGCGCUUGAUGCGGAUUAGGUUUCCUCGAGUGCAGAACAUCAGGCCGUCUGUCUCAAAAGUGCCACGAUAACAUCUCCACUGGAGCGAUAGUCCUUGAAAGCCGGGCCCCGUCCUCGCUGAACACAGACGUGCAUUUCUUUGCCGGUGCUUCGGAUGUCGCUGGACGUCCGUGACGGGCGCGAUGCGUUAUCCACAGCCUGCGCGCGUGCACACAAAGCGUGCGCGUUCGUCUUCCCUCUACAGUUUCAUUAACACCUUGGAUCACCCUGUCGUCAUCUUUUUUUUUUUUUUUU